rnacentral:rRNA from 1 species
CAGCAGCCGCGGUAAUACGAAGGGUGCAAGCGUUACUCGGAAUUACUGGGCGUAAAGCGUGCGUAGGUGGUGGUUUAAGUCCGUUGUGAAAGCCCUGGGCUCAACCUGGGAAUUGCAGUGGAUACUGGGUCACUAGAGUGUGGUAGAGGAUAGUGGAAUUUCCGGUGUAGCAGUGAAAUGCGUAGAGGUCGGAAGGAACAUCUGUGGCGAAGGCGACUAUCUGGGCCAACACUGACACUGAGGCACGAAAGCGUGGGGAGCAAACAGGAUUAGAUACCCCGGUAGUCCCUGUCUCUUAUAC